rnacentral:rRNA from 1 species
UACAGAGGGGGCAAGCGUUGUUCGGAAUUACUGGGCGUAAAGGGCGCGUAGGCGGCCUGCUAAGGCGAAGGUGAAAUCCCUGGGCUCAACCCAGGAACUGCGUCCGAUACUGGUUGGCUUGAAUCCGGGAGAGGGAUGCGGAAUUCCAGGUGUAGCGGUGAAAUGCGUAGAUAUCUGGAGGAACACCGGUGGCGAAGGCGGCAUCCUGGACCGGCAUUGACGCUGAGGCGCGAAAGCCAGGGGAGCAAACGGG